rnacentral:rRNA from 1 species
CCCGCGGCGCAUUAGCUAAUUGGUGGGGUAAUGGCUCACCAAGGCGACGAUGCGUAGCCGACCUGAGAGGGUGAUCGGCCACACUGGGACUGAGACACGGCCCAGACUCCUACGGGAGGCAGCAGUAGGGAAUCUUCCGCAAUGGACGAAAGUCUGACGGAGCAACGCCGCGUGAGUGAUGAAGGUUUUCGGAUCGUAAAGCUCUGUUGUUAGGGAAGAACAAGUGCGAGAGUAACUGCUCGCACCUUGACGGUACCUAACCAGAAAGCCACGGCUAACUACGUGCCACCAGCCGCGGUAAUACGUAGGUGGCAAGCGUUGUCCGGAAUUAUUGGGCGUAAAGGGCUCGCAGGCGGUUUCUUAAGUCUGAUGUGAAAGCCCCCGGCUCAACCGGGGAGGGUCAUUGGAAACUGGGAAACUUGAGUGCAGAAGAGGAGAGUGGAAUUCCACGUGUAGCGGUGAAAUGCGUAGAGAUGUGGAGGAACACCAGUGGCGAAGGCGACUCUCUGGUCUGUAACUGACGCUGAGGAGCGAAAGCGUGGGGAGCGAACAGGAUUAGAUACCCUGGUAGUCCACGCCGUAAACGAUGAGUGCUAAGUGUUAGGGGGUUUCCGCCCCUUAGUGCUGCAGCUAACGCAUUAAGCACUCCGCCUGGGGAGUACGGUCGCAAGACUGAAACUCAAAGGAAUUGACGGGGGCCCGCACAAGCGGUGGAGCAUGUGGUUUAAUUCGAAGCAACGCGAAGAACCUUACCAGGUCUUGACAUCCUCUGACAACCCUAGAGAUAGGGCUUUCCCUUCGGGGACAGAGUGACAGGUGGUGCAUGGUUGUCGUCAGCUCGUGUCGUGAGAUGUUGGGUUAAGUCCCGCAACGAGCGCAACCCUUGAUCUUAGUUGCCAGCAUUUAGUUGGGCACUCUAAGGUGACUGCCGGUGACAAACCGGAGGAAGGUGGGGAUGACGUCAAAUCAUCAUGCCCCUUAUGACCUGGGCUACACACGUGCUACAAUGGACAGAACAAAGGGCUGCGAGACCGCAAGGUUUAGCCAAUCCCAUAAAUCUGUUCUCAGUUCGGAUCGCAGUCUGCAACUCGACUGCGUGAAGCUGGAAUCGCUAGUAAUCGCGGAUC